AGAGUUGGCCCGCGCGGAUCAAAAUGUAGUAUCUGUUCUUAUCAGCCUAAUGUGUGAUACGGAUUGUGUUUGGACCCAAGGUAUUGAACUUAUUUUUGCAAAUUGUGGGAGUGCUUGAAGCCUGCUUCACCUCCGCUGCAGGUCGGCUCGGUAGUGCACCAUCUUCGGGAUCGGCCCACGCUCU